AGCAGCCGCGGUAAUUCCAGCUCCAAUAGCGUAUAUUAAAGUUGUUGCAGUUAAAAAGCUCGUAGUUGAAUUUCGGGAUCAGUACGCUGGUCGUGCCUUGGUAUGUACUGGUGUUACUGGUUCCUACCUUCUGACGAACCGUCAUGUCAUUAAUUUGGUGUGGCGGGGAAUCAGGACUGUUACUUUGAAAAAAUUAGAGUGUUUAAAGCAGGCUCGCGCUUGAAUACAUUAGCAUGGAAUAAUGAAAUAGGACGUUUGAUCCUAUUUUGUUGGUUUCUAGGAUUGACGUAAUGAUUAAUAGGGAUAGUUGGGGGCAUUAGUAUUCAAUUGUCAGAGGUGAAAUUCUUGGAUUUAUUGAAGACUAACUACUGCGAAAGCAUUUGCCAAGGAUGUUUUCAUUAAUCAAGAACGAAAGUUAGGGGAUCGAAGACGAUCAGAUACCGUCGUAGUCUUAACCAUAAACUAUGCCGACUAGGGAUCGGAUGAUGUUAAUUUUUUAAUGACUCAUUCGGCGCCUUACG
rnacentral:rRNA from 1 species